rnacentral:rRNA from 1 species
GCGGUAAUUCCAGCUCUCGUAAUGUAUAGAAUUAUUGUUGCGAUUAAAAAGUUCGUAGUUGGAUUGCAACGCAGGUAUGGGUCCACCCUCUGGGUGCGUACUCAAUGCUUGCAUUUUGCAUGUUUUUGUGGCGUCGCUUCGGUGGCGUUCAUGAUGCAUGCAGGAUUACUUUGAACGGCUCAAGUGCUUAAAGCAAGUCUUAUGACUGAAUACCGGUGCAUGGAAUAAUGGAACAAGGUUGUGGCUGAGUUUUAUUGGUUUUGUCGGCUAAAACAAUGGUUAACAGGAACAGCCGGGGGCAUUCGUAUCGCUGCGCGAGAGGUGAAAUUCGUGGACCGUAGCGAGACGUCCUACAGCGAAGGCAUUUGCCAAGAGUGUUUUCAUUAAUCAAGAACGAAAGUCAGAGGUUCGAAGGCGAUUAGAUACCGCUCUAGUUCUGACCGUAAACGAUGCCAACUGUCGAUCCGCUUGUGGAUUUUAUUCAUGAGCGGGGAGAUUUCCGGAAACGAAAGUUUUUCGGUUUCGGGGGAAGUAUGGUUGCAAAGCUGAAACUUAAAGGAAUUGACGGAAGGGCACCACCAGGAGUGGAGCUUGCGGCUUAAUUUGACUCAACACGGGAAAUCUCACCCGGCCAGUACAUCGUAAGGAUUGACAGACUGACAGCUCUUUCAUGAUUCGGUGAAUGGUGGUGCAUGGCCGUUCUUAGUUCGUGGAUUGAUUUGUCUGGUUUAUUCCGAUAACGAACGAGACUUUAACUAUUAAAUAGUGCGCAUGUUGCUUCGGCUGCGUGUGAUCACUUCUUAAAGGAAUUUGUGGUUUUCAACCUCAAGAAAUUGAGCAAUAACAGGUCUGUGAUGCCCUUAGAUGUUCGGGGCCGCACGCGUGCUACAAUGGUGGUAACAGCGUGAUUGUCCUUUUCCGACAGGAAUUGGCAAACAGUUGAGAUAUUAUUAUGGCUGGAAUUGAGUGUUGAAAUUUUCUCUCAUGAACGAGGAAUUCCAAGUAAAUGUGAGUCAUUAACUUGCAUUGAUUACGUCCCUGCCCUUUGUACACACCGCCCGUCGCUGCCCGGGACUGAGUUACUUCGAGAAAACUAGGGAUCGCUGGAGUUCGAUGUUUCGGCAUUGUCUUUGGUGAGAACUAGUUUAAUCGCAGUGGCUUGAACCGGCA